UGAAGACAAACUGAGUCGCACCUGCACCGCUGCCUAGAAGUAUGCAAAGUUACAUCCGGGCUGAAUGGUAAAUUGGCAGGAAGCACUUCACACAUUUGAUUUGAAAAGUCUACAUUCUUACACCUGGCUGUUACCCUCAAGACCUACUCCUACCAGACGUUCAGAUGUAAGAAACAAGGGAGCGUCUGGACAUUCGCCAUCUUAUCAACACCCAGGGGAGCUGCAAUAAAAUACUUCUCUUUGGUUAGAAGUUUCUAAUCAACGCGAUUCUUUUAUCAAAGUAUGGCCACUGGUGAGUUUGCUCGACUGUUACACAACAACAGUCCACAGAAAUUCCUGUCUCACACGCAGUACAUCAGAUGGAGCGAAUUUUAACACGCUCUAUGUGUUGAUACAAUCAUGGACGUAUAUCUCUAUGUAAGUUUGCAGAUGAAUUUUCCCCUUAAUUCACUUUUAGAACAAGGUCAAUCCCCAUAUUCACUUUCUGUUUAACUAUUCAAACUCAAGAAGCCCAGACUAUGCGAAUUCUCGUG